rnacentral:rRNA from 1 species
GACGAACGCUGGCGGCGUGCUUAACACAUGCAAGUCGAACGGAAAGGCCCUGCUUUUGUGGGGUGCUCGAGUGGCGAACGGGUGAGUAACACGUGAGUAACCUGCCCUUGACUUUGGGAUAACGUCAGGAAACUGGGGCUAAUACCGGAUAGGAGCUCCUGCUGCAUGUUGGGGGUUGGAAAGUUUCGGCGGUUGGGGAUGGACGCGCGGCUUAUCAGCUUGUUGGUGGGGUAGUGGCUUACCAAGGCUUUGACGGGUAGCCGGCCUGAGAGGGUGACAGGCCACAGUGGGACUGAGAUACGACCCAGACUCCUACGGGAGGCAGCAGUGGGAAAUAUUGCACGAUGGGCGGAAGCCUGAUGCAGCAACGCCGCGUGCGGGAUGACGGCCUUCGGGUUGUAACCCGCUUUCGCCUGUGACGAAGCGUGAGUGACGGUAAUGGGUAAAGAAGCACCGGCUAACUACGUG